rnacentral:antisense_RNA from 1 species
UGAAUUGGGAUGAGGGGCCAAGACAAAGCAGAAAUCUGCUGCAGAGAGCAGGAAAGAUAAAGGAUAUUCUGCAGCAGGAUCUGGGCAAGUGGCACUCAUCCAUAUCCUUUGCAUUGCAAAGAGAGGAGCUACCUCCUUCCUUUUUAUUUUCCAGUUUAUUAGUGGCUCCUAGAACCUCUGAGAACUAACUGAUUUUGACCUCUUAACAGUUGCCUUUCAACUACCAUUCAUUCACUGCAAGCCUACUGUGUAACAGGCCCUUUUUAGUCAUUUCAGAUAUAUUGUCUCUUACCCAGCUUCAAGUGACUCUAUAAGGGAGGGAUUAGCCUCACCUCACUAGUAUGGAAAUGGAGACUUGGAGUAAUCAAGUGACUUGCUCUGAAUUACACAGCUGGGAAGUGGUGAAGCUGGAAUUCAACUCAAGUUAUGUCUAGAUCUAAAACUCAUGCUCUUUUCUAUGGUCAAAGCUGCAUUUCAAAAUUGAACUUUAGCAUGGAGUCUAUGAUGACUGGCUCAUGUCUCUCCACCCAACACCUAGCCCAAGGCCAAGCACAGAGAAGGCUCACAGUGGACACUUUUGGAAUGAGUAGAUUUUGUAUGGAAUGAUCAAGCACACUGAACUACCUGGAGUAAAGGGGCAUCAUGUCUGAAACUGAUGCUUAAGUGGCUCAGAAAAAAAAUUCUGGGAGCUAGAGGGAGAGAGAGACAGAGGAGUGUGGUAAAAAGUUAUCAUUUGGGGGGUCUGCGUAAAAGGUAUAUGAGGAUUCUUUGUACGGAUUUUGCAACUUUUCUCCCAGUCUGAAAUUAUGUCAAAAUAUAAAAUUAAAAGGCAAAAUUAAAAGAAUGAGUGAGAGUUUACUAGGUAGAGAAGCAGAAGGAUCUUCUGGUAAAGGAACAGGAUAAGCAAAAGCAUCACAAGUGUGCGAGUCUUCUGUGUUGACAAACAAGCCCUGACUCUGAAUAUCCAGGACUAGCAUGGUGUGGGGAGAUGGGGAUUAGAGGGAUAAUGAGCAGCAUAACCCACAAAUGGACACAUUUCCCUGCUACCUAAGAUUAGAAGUAAAGACUUUAGGCCUACAUUAUACCCAGCCUCAAGAGUUGCAAGACAUAACAUGAGUUCUCAUGGCGGCUCAGUCUUUGCAUUGGCAGUGUCUCUUCAUCCAGUGACUGUGUGGAACAAUGGAAACCCUAGAAUCAUGGCUGAAAGGGACAUCUAGUCCAACUCUCUCAUUUUGCAGAAGGGACAACUAAGAUGCAAAAUGAAGAAAAGAUUUGCAAGGUCCCAGCAAAGGUUAGUGUUAAAACUGGCCUCU